UACGUAGGGGACGAGCGUUGUCCGGAAUUAUUGGGCGUAAAGAGCGUGUAGGCGGCUACUCAAGUCCUGCGUGAAAUCUCGAGGCUCAACCUCGAGCGGUCGUGGGAAACUGGGUGGCUAGAGACCGGGAGAGGUGAGUGGAAUUCCCAGUGUAGCGGUGAAAUGCGUAGAUAUUAGGAAGAACACCAGUGGCGAAGGCGGCUCACUGGUCCGGUACUGACGCUGAGGUGCGAAAGCGUGGGGAGCAAACAGG
rnacentral:rRNA from 1 species